CAGUGAAACCAGAUGAAGCACACAGGAAAAAAAGGUGAGCUUAUCAACAAAGGAGGUCUGGAUCCAUGGAACACAUGAGGAGAUCAAACUCAAAGCUGCGUUGAACCCCCAUGAUUACCCACUUGGCUACCUGGCAAGUGUUUUCGGCCUGGGACCCAAGAGAAUCACAGAUUUGCGUUCACUAACAAGAUGGUGGACCUUAACUCCCAGCUUUGGACACAGCCAGCAUGGAACAGAAGUAGGACCUCAGGAUCUGCAGUGGCUGUCUGACUGUGGCUGUACAAGAGGUGCCAGGGAGGCUGGGAAGAGGAAGACAUUUGGCCCGUUCUUCUGGGGAGGAUAACUUUCUCCAGGAUGGAAGACAAACACCGUAAAGAGAGCAGAUGGUGUCUGGAUCAAAGUCUCUCAGGGAUUCAGCAAAGUAUAGAAGGUAAAGCUGGACACCCGCAAACACUGGAACCUGAGGAACAGAGGUGAAAGUUUCUCCAGAUGUGGGAUAAUGAAGCCCACAGAUGACAGCUGAGUUAUGCCCAUUUUAUAGGGGAAAAAAACAGAGACAUGAGCUGUUCCAUAACUUGCCCAAGAUCCGUAGCUAGUGAGGAGGGAUCAGAACAGAUGGACAAGAUGCCAAAACCUGUGUUCUUAACCAACACAUUCAUCUAUAUUCAUCUGAUGGAAUACAAGGAAGCACCAGGUCUUCAUUGUGGUCCUCCAUUGAGCAGCUGGGACGGUGCAGGAUGUGCUGAAUGUGGUCCAGAAGAUGCUCCACCAGCUGGACGUCCACAUCAGCUGCAGAGCUCGCUGCUACGAACAGUGGCCAAGGCGUCCUGGGCUGCUGGAGGAGCUUGUGUUCCAGAUGCCCAAGGAACAUGGUGCCCAAGCUGACCAGCAUGGGGUUGGUUGGGCGUCUGGCCAGGUCUCCUAGCUGGUCCAU